GACGAACGCUGGCGGCGUGCCUAAUACAUGCAAGUCGAACGCAGUGGGGACGGGUGAGUAACACGUGGGUAACCUCCCAUCAGAGGGGAUAACACUUGGAAACAGGUGCUAAACCGAUACUGCAGGGUGGACCCGCGGUGCAUUAGCGAGUUGGUGAGGUAACGGCUCACAAAGGCCACGAUGCAUCGCCGACCUUAGAGGGGGAUCUGCCACACGGGGACGUAGACACGGCCCAGACUCCUACGUGAGGCAGCAGUAGGGAAUCUUCUGCAAUGGACGAAAGUCUGACCGAGCAACGCCGCGUGAGUGAAGAAGGUUUUCGGAUCGUAAAACUCUGUUGUUAGAGAAGCGGUAUCUAACCAGAAAGCCACGGCUAACUACGUGCCAGCAGCCGAGGUAAUUC
rnacentral:rRNA from 1 species